CCUACGGGAGGCAGCAGUGGGGAAUAUUGCACAAUGGGCGAAAGCCUGAUGCAGCAACGCCGCGUGAGCGAUGAAGGCCCUCGGGUCGUUAAGCCCUGUCCUCAAGGAAGAUAAUGACGGUACUUGAGGAGGAAGCCCCGGCUAACUACGUGCCAGCAGCCGCGGGAAUACGUAGGGGGCUAGCGUUAUCCGGAAUUACUGGGCGUAAGGGGUGCGUAGGUGGUUUCUUAAGUCAGAGGUGAAAGGCUAGGGCUCAACCGUAGUAAGCCUUUGAAACUGGGAAACUUGAGUGCAGGAGGGGAGAGUGGAAUUCCUAGUGUAGCGGUGAAAUGCGUAGAUAUUAGGAGGAACACCAGUUGCGAAGGCGGCUCUCUGGACUGUAACUGACACUGAGGCACGAAAGCGUGGGGAGCGAACAGGAUUAGAUACCCGAGUAGUC
rnacentral:rRNA from 1 species